UCUUUUCAAUAAAGCGGCGGACUGGUGAGUACGCGUGGGUGACCUGCCUUUACCGCCGGGGAUAUGCCGUUAGAAAUACGCGGGUAAUACCGGAUGUGAUCGCAAGACUUUGGUUAUGCGAGGAAAGAUGCCACGGCAUCGCCUGAACGAUGGGCCCGCGUCCCAUUAGCUAAGUUGGCAAGUGUAACGGACUACACAAGCGAAGAUGGGUAAGCGGCCCUGACGAGGGUGAACAGGGCACACUGGGACUGAGAUACGGCCCGAAGACUCCUACGGGAGGCAAGCAGCUAAGAAUUAUUCCGCAAUGGACGAAAGUCUGACGGAGCGACGCCGCGUGGAUGAGGAAGGCCGCAAAAGUAGUAAAAUCCUUUUAUCUGCAGACAGAAUAAGCAUGGUACGGGAAUGACUUGUGUGAUGACGUUACGGCAAUGAAUAAAGCCCCGGGCUAAUUA
rnacentral:rRNA from 1 species